UAACAGCAGAACCCUGGAGUGUAGUACUCUUCUUAGAGGGAAAUCUCUGGUAGUGUCUCAAUGUUUUUACGAGGGAAUGUGAGGCAUGUAUAUUUGAUGCUAGAAUGGGGGGAAUCUCACGUGCUUGGCGGUGGAAGAUGGUCAUGGAUGCUCCACUAAUUUGGCUGCAGAUCAAGUGUGAAGUAGGCCCCGUGAAUUUUCUUGCAGAUUUUUCCUGGUCCCCUAUCUUUUGCACAAAGUGAUCUAGCACUGAACAAAGAUCCUAACCUAAACAGAUCGCAAAACCCCAUGCAAGAGUCAUUAGCCUAAUUGAAAUAUUGGGGUUUUAAUCACUGUUUGCAGCAAAAGUUCUUGGCUUGAUUCUUCAAAUUCACUACCCUUCUCCUCCCCCAACAACGCUAUAUUGCUAGCUCCAAAGAUAAAUUGAUCUUGUGCUUCAGUAACUUUAGCCAGGUUAAUUUCCCCCAAAACUGUUGAAAACAAAAGAAAAAUACCCGCUUAAUUCGUUAGAUGUUAGAAGACAAUUUGAGAUACCCCCAAAUGGGAGAACAUUGUCAUGAAGCAAAACAGGAGAAAACAUAUUGAUGUUGACCCUCCUGUACGGGAGUCCAUUCUUUUCAAGAAAGUUUGUGCCAACAAAUUUUUUGGUCACUGUCAUGACCUAGCUAGCUAUAAUAUCACAUUUCUUAGUAUCUAGCUAGCAACUACUACUAUUCUUUCUGCCUAUAUAAGAGAUCAACUUAGGUGAAAGAUGCUAUGCAGGAAAGGGCAUUCGAUAAAUUAUAUAUCAAAAGACUAGUCAUCUAAGAAUAUUAUGGCUACAUGCAAGCGCCUUCUUCUGGUUGCUUUUGUGUUUCUUUGCUUCAUUUCUAUCACUGCUAGAGCACGGAGUCUGCGGGCGGCUACUACUAAUACUAAUCAUGAAGCAGGUCCAAAGGGAGACGUUGAUGGUCUACUAUUUACACCAAACGAAGAUGGGAUGGAGGCCAGUAGUGAUGAAUUAGUGUCUAUGGAUUACACUCCAACAAAGAAGAAGCCUCCGAUUCAUAACUUAUAAGAUUUUCCAGCUUUUGUUCGAGCAAGUACCAGUUCAACUCGAUCCAGGCCAUUUCGUUAAUACUUCGACUUUACUUAAGCUUUUGGGUCAUGUAUACAGUUUCUUGAUGGGGGGGAUACAAAAAUUUUGGAAAUUAUGUUUUUAGUAAAAAUGUAAGCCAGAAAUAGAUAGCCGGCCCGCUACAGCUAGCUACGGCCAAUUUAUAAUGGGUGUGCAAAGUCAAGUUAAUUAAAGAUAUGGGAAGUUUUGAUGAGGGGGAAAAAGGGUUCUUGACCUUAUUUAUGCUUGGUGAUCGAUCUGUAUAGUUGGUGUUGGUUUUUGUGCCUCAAAUACCUCUAUAUAUCAUGUUAUUAGAUUCUCAAGUUCAUGUAAUGAUCUUCUGAUCUUAACUGAAUUUAAGUUUUCUGCUA